CUGGGCUCAGCUGAAUGCAAGAAGGCACAAAGAAGAAGUUCUUCAUCAAUGUGUCUGAAGUAAUUCCAGCAUCUUGCAUCUCAUACCUACAGCAGAAAGUAUAACAGAGGGGGGGGAAAGGCUGAGUGCAACUACCACAGCAAAUAUUGAGAUCAUCAUCUUACCAGUCAUUGAAAGACAUCAUGUAGUAAAUUGGUGGUCUCUGAAAAUCAUUAAAGGCAGACUGUUGACCCAAGGUACCAGAACCCAUAUUAUCAAAGAUCAGCCAGUCUCCGACACUCAACUCAGGAAGAAGACAGUUUUCCACAAUUUGAUCAAGCUCAUCACAGGAUGGACCCCAAAGGCUGCUGGCAAACAGAGGCUCAUCUUCCUUGUAUUUCUACAAAAACAAUCCAGUCAAGUCAGGCUUUAGUUUAAGGCAAAAGAAAGUUUUACAGACACAUUAGAAAAAGAACAUUGAUAUUAAGUCAUCUGAAAAAUUCCUUUCUUCUAGGGAAAAAGUCCACAGAUCCAUUACAAUGGGUCUCAUGCCGGCUUGCAGCUUCUUGGGGCAGAAAAGACUUGUCAAUCAGGCAGUCUGGGAGAGGCCAUACCCCUAAAGACCUAGCCAGUUCAAAAUACUUCCAAAGCUGUUUUGUAGUGCAAAGUCCUUUAAAGGUUAAUUCACAGGUUAGCAGACAAGAUUCAUAAACAUUUUCCGCUGCAGAGCAACUUGAAAUUCUACCCCAAUUAUAUUAUGUCCCUAACUUCAAAUUUCACCCCAAGGAAAUAUAUAUUGUGUCCCCAAAGAAAAUGGAGGCGAGUGUGAUGGUUUAAGCCUUCCUCAGACCACAAUCCUUGUGCUGGGUUGGAUCUGCGGACUUUUAUGACUGGAAGAAAGGAAAUUUUUGAGAAAAGAUAUGGUAGGUUUCCCUAUUCUUUUUCACAGGGAAAGUCCACAGAGCCAUUACAACAGGGUGUCUAAAAGCAGUGCAUUUCCGUGAAGGGAAAACAGGAAGAAUGAGAUGAGUGGCUCUGAAUGAAUGAGCACCAGUUUUUUUGGUGGGGGGCAUGCUUUGCCUGUUCCAUGCAGGCCAAUAAUGUAACAUGACACUCAUAGACCAAGCCCUUGAAGAUGUCCUGUUUGUAAAAAUACUUUUUCAAGGCUAAAGAAGUGUUAACACAUCUGACUAUCCUAUUUUAAUUAUACCUCUCACAUAAUGUAGUUAAGAUUUGAUUUUCUGGACUUGGGUACAGAAUUUUGUCCUUGGGAGCAGAUUCUUUUUGUAGAGGAGACAUAGCUGAGUGGUGGUUGACAACUGAAUUCUACAUGAGACCUAGAAUUUCCCUUGACAGCAUGGAGGCCAUCAUGGCUCACUUCUGCCUUGUUGGUUUGUCCUGGAGAUCCUGGAGAAUACUGUGAUCA